rnacentral:sRNA from 1 species
UAUUAUAAAAUUAAAAUCAACGUGCGCUGUUGGCCUAGUAGUAAAUUUUUCAGGUAGAAGUGUUGGGUUCCAGAUACGUUGAAAAAGAUCUUUUGUUUUAAAAAGAUAAAUUUAAUCUGUUAUGGGUCUCGCCUUUUAGAAAUGUAAAGCCUUUGGACCUGAACUUUUAAAUAUUAAAAAAAAUAAUUAUAAAAAUGGAGCUAAUCGAAUCGGAGUAAAAGGGGAAACAAAUCAUUAUAGUC